rnacentral:rRNA from 1 species
ACCUGCGGAAGGAUCAUUAUUGAAAUAAACCUGAUGAGUUGCUGCUGGUUCUCUAGGGAGCAUGUGCACGCUUGUCAUCUUUAUAUCUCCACCUGUGCACCUUUUGUAGACCUGGAUAAUCUCUCUGGAUGCUUGACAUUCAGGUUUGAGGAUUGACCUUUGUGUCUCUCCUUACAUUUCCAGGCCUAUGUUUCUUCAUUAUACCCUAAUGUAUGUUAUAGAAUGUUAAUCAAUGGGCUUUUAUGCCUAUAAAACCUAUACAACUUUCAGCAACGGAUCUCUUGGCUCUCGCAUCGAUGAAGAACGCAGCGAAAUGCGAUAAGUAAUGUGAAUUGCAGAAUUCAGUGAAUCAUCGAAUCUUUGAACGCACCUUGCGCUCCUUGGUAUUCCGAGGAGCAUGCCUGUUUGAGUGUCAUUAAUAUAUCAACCUCUUCAACUUUGCUUGUUGAGUGUUGGAUGUGGGGGUUUUUUUUGCUGGCCUUUCUAAAGGUCGGCUCCCCUUAAAUGCAUUAGCGGAACAAAUUUGUGGACCGUUCAUUGGUGUGAUAACUAUCUACGCUAUUGACGCAAAGCAGAGUUCAGCUUCUAACAGUCCAUUGACUUGGACAAAWUUUUCAUUAAUGUGACCUCAAAUCAGGUAGGACUACCCGCUGAACUUAAGCAUAUCAAUAAGCGGAGGAAAAGAAACUAACAAGGAUUCCCCUAGUAACUGCGAGUGAAGCGGGAAAAGCUCAAAUUUAAAAUCUGUCAGUCUUUGGCUGUCCGAGUUGUAAUCUAGAGAAGUGUUAUCCGCGCUGGACCGUGUACAAGUCUCCUGGAAUGGAGCGUCAUAGAGGGUGAGAAUCCCGUCUUUGACACGGACUGCCAGGGCUUUGUGAUGCGCUCUCAAAGAGUCGAGUUGUUUGGGAAUGCAGCUCAAAAUGGGUGGUAAAUUCCAUCUAAAGCUAAAUAUUGGCGAGAGACCGAUAGCGAACAAGUACCGUGAGGGAAAGAUGAAAAGAACUUUGGAAAGAGAGUUAAACAGUACGUGAAAUUGCUGAAAGGGAAACGCUUGAAGUCAGUCGCGUUGUCCAGGGAUCAACCUUGCUUUUGCUUGGUGUACUUCCUGGUUGACGGGUCAGCAUCAAUUUUGACCGUUGGAAAAAGGUCAAGGGAAUGUGGCAUCYUUAGAUGUGUUAUAGCCCUUGGUUGCAUACAAUGGUUAGGAUUGAGGAACUCAGCACGCCGCAAGGCCGAGUAAUUUUACUACGUUCGUGCUUAGGA